GACGAACGCUGGCGGCGUGCUUAACACAUGCAAGUCGAGCGGGAUCCAACCGGUGGCAACACCGGGAAGAUCUAGCGGCGAACGGGUGAGUAACACGUGAGCAACCUGCCCCGAAGACUGGGAUAACACCGGGAAACCGGUGCUAAUACCGGAUGUCGUCAUUAGGCCGCAUGACCUGAUGAUGAAAGGAUUCAUCGCUUCGGGAGGGGCUCGCGGGCUAUCAGCUUGNGGUGGGGUAACGGCCUACCAAGGCGACGACGGCUAGCUGGUCUGAGAGGACGACCAGCCACACCGGAACUGAGACACGGUCCGGACUCCUACGGGAGGCAGCAGUGGGGAAUAUUGGACAAUGGGGGCAACCCUGAUCCAGCGACGCCGCGUGGGUGAAGAAGGCCUGCGGUUGUAAACCUCUUUCAGCUCCGACGAAGCGAGAGUGACGGUAGGAGCAGAAGAAGCACCGGCCAACUACGUGCCAGCAGCCG
rnacentral:rRNA from 1 species